rnacentral:rRNA from 1 species
AGAGUUUGAUCCCGGCUCAGGACGAACGCUGGCGGCGUGCCUAAUGCAUGCAAGUCGAACGCAGCAGGCGUGCCUGGCUGCGUGGCGAACGGCUGAGGAACACGUGGGUCACCUGCCCCGGAGUGGGGGAUACCCCGUCGAAAGACGGGACAAUCCCGCAUACGCUCUAUGGAGGAAAGCCGCAAGGCGCUCUGGGAGGGGCCUGCGGCCCAUCAGGUAGUUGGUGUGGUAACGGCGCACCAAGCCAAUGACGGGUACCCGGUCUGAGAGGACGACCGGGCAGACUGGGACUGAGACACGGCCCAGACUCCUACGGGAGACAGCAGCAAGGAAUUUUCCCCAAUGGGCGCAAGCCUGAGGGAGCAACGCCGCGUGGAGGACGACGGCCUUCGGGUUGUAAACUCCUUUCGGGUGGGACGAUGCUGACGGUACCACCAGAAGCAGCCCCGGCUAACUCUGUGCCAGCAGCCGCGGUAAGACAGAGGGGGCAAGCGUUGUCCGGAGUUACUGGGCGUAAAGGGCGCGCAGGCGGUGGGCUGCGUCGGCGCUGAAAGCGCCCCGCUUAACGGGGCGAGGCGCGCCGAUACGAGUCCACUCGAGGCAAGCAGAGGGUGGCGGAAUUCCGGGUGGAGCGGUGAAAUGCGUAGAGAUCCGGAGGAACGCCGGUGGGGAAGCCGGCCACCUGGGCUUGACCUGACGCU